rnacentral:tRNA from 1 species
GGCGCGGUAGCCAAGUGGUAAGGCCGUGGACUGCAAAUCCUCUACCGUCGGUUCGAUUCCGACCCGCGCCUCCA